rnacentral:rRNA from 1 species
AUUGAACGCUGGCGGCAGGCCUAACACAUGCAAGUCGAGCGAGCGGCGGACGGGUGAGUAAUGUAUGGGAAUCUGCCCGAUGGAGGGGGAUAACUACUGGAAACGGUGGCUAAUACCGCAUACUCUCGGAUGUGCCCAUAUGGGAUUAGCUAGUAGGUGGGGUAAAGGCUCACCUAGGCGACGAUCACUAGCUGGUCUGAGAGGAUGAUCAGCCACACUGGAACUGAGACACGGCCCAGACUCCGACGGGAGGCAGCAGUGGGGAAUAUUGCACAAUGGGCGCAAGCCUGAUGCAGCCAUGCCGCGUGUAUGAAGAAGGCCUUAGGGUUGUAAAGUACUUUCAGCGGGGAGGCGUUACCCGCAGAAGAAGCACCGGCUAACUCCGUGCCAGCAGCCGCGGUAAUAC